rnacentral:rRNA from 1 species
AACGAACGCUGGCGGCAGGCUUAACACAUGCAAGUCGAGCGCCCCGCAAGGGGAGCGGCAGACGGGUGAGUAACGCGUGGGAAUCUACCCAUCUCUACGGAAUAACGCAUGGAAACGUGUGCUAAUACCGUAUACGUCCUUCGGGAGAAAGAUUUAUCGGAGAUGGAUGAGCCCGCGUUGGAUUAGCUAGUUGGUGGGGUAAAGGCCUACCAAGGCGACGAUCCAUAGCUGGUCUGAGAGGAUGAUCAGCCACACUGGGACUGAGACUCGGCCCAGACUCCUACGGGAGGCAGCAGUGGAGAAUAUUGGACAAUGGGCGCAAGCCUGAUCCAGCCAUGCCGCGUGAGUGAUGAAGGCCCUAGGGUUGUAAAGCUCUCUCACCGGUGAAGAUAAUGACGGUAACCGGAGAAGAAGCCCCGGCUAACUUCGUGCCAGCCGCCGCAGUAAAAC